rnacentral:rRNA from 1 species
GUUUUCAGCUGUACCACCCUGAAUGUGCCCAAACUCACCUGAUCUAAGAAGCUAAGCAGGGUUGGGCCUGGUCAGUACUUGGAUCGGGGAGAAGAGAGAU